CAGACUCGUCACAAAUAAAGAAAAUUUUUGAAAAUAAACGGACAGUCUCUUUUGUAUUUGCACGGCGUAGCACAAAGUAUAAUUAUCAACCAUGACCUCCACUCACACAAACAACAAUCACGAGUCGCAAAGAUUAUCAUUUCACAACAUACAGCUACCCGUUCUUAGUCGCAACCAUUCCACGUCAAAUUCACAUUCAUUCCUACUAGUUAAAAGCACCUCACAUACGAA
rnacentral:lncRNA from 1 species